ACGUAGGUGGCGAGCGUUACUCGGAUUUACUAGGCGUAAAGCGUGUGUAGGCGGGAGCUUAAGUUCGUUGUUAAAUUCCAGAGCUCAACUCUGGACUGUCGACGAAUACUGGGUUUCUUGAGUGAGGUAGGGGAAACUGGAAUUCCAGGUGUAGCGGUGAAAUGCGUAGAUAUCUGGAAGAACGCCAAAGGCGAAGGCAGGUUUCUGGGCCUUUACUGACGCUGAGACACGAAAGCUAGGGGAGCAAACAG
rnacentral:rRNA from 1 species